rnacentral:lncRNA from 1 species
GCUCUGCAGCUGGUCCAUAAGCAAGGUAAGUAGAUCCAUUACCGGCCGGCUCCGGACCGUCAAAGACCUAACGGAGUAACCCCUUAUUUAUCUCGGAUCGGAGAUGCUAACGGGGCUGGGGGACCUCUCUACCGCCUCUGUCUAUCUCCUGUCAAGCCCAGACAUAGACUACGUUACGUACAGGGUAGUACUCUUGAAAAGAAAGAAUAUCACCGCGUGAACAUAACAUUAAGUUAUAUUCAUAACUUACCCGAGGGAUCGACCACUAUUCUAAAUAGAGUAAGGCGGAGAACUGUUGUUCAUUGGAGCACCGGAGUGCGGAGGUUGUUCCGAUCAUUGAAAUCAGAGUGUGGGACCCCGCCCUUCGAAUGAUAAAGACCAAAAAGCCCUUAGUUUCGCCAACGCACAUUGACUUUCUCUCGCCCUACUUCUAAGGAUAGAUAGAAAAGAAAGGGUUGGAGAGAGUGACUUUCAUUCUCUCUUUUCAUUCUCUCACGUGAGCGACAGUGAUAGAUCUAUCACUUCAGGGGGGGAGUUCCGUUAUGAGUGAGGAGCGAAUGCCCUAUUUUUCAAAGGUCAUGAGCUCGCGGGCUUUGGAACCUCGCCCGCCAUAGCUGAAGUGCAUCCAUUCCUUCGUAUUGCUCCCCCUGACUGCAAUUUCGCUUGUUCAUUAGGGCUCUGUGACAGGGAGGGGCCUCGCUUCAGUCGCUCUUCUAAGCGCUCGCAACAGUUGUUACUGAUUACGCACUCGCUGCUCUUAUCGCUCUAUCUUUUGGUCCGACUCUACCAUUAGAUGCUAGAUGAGACUCUUGAGAUGGGAAAGGUCCUACUCUUGAUUGAAAUGGGGCUACUCCUUGCUUAGUUAGCUCGUUCUUGAGUUAGCUCUUUGUCUUGUACUUGUAGCUACUACCGAUAUGCUAUGCAAGUGGUAGAAGUGGUCCUACUAAUUCAGUGCUAAGCACUCAGCUUCCUCAGGGCUUGGAAGACCCUUCGCUAGCGAGGCAGCUGUUACAGAGGAAGAAUAAGAGGGAGGGAGUACCGAACCGAGGAGACAAAGACAACUAUGUAAAGCUUAGACCGUCGCGUAUACUGCUCCUCCUUUGGGUAGCUCUCUCUUCAAGCACUCCUUCUUGAAAGAACAACUCUUCCCACUCAAGCACUACUUGUGCUAUGAAAGUAAUCUUCUACUGGUUCGCCUACUCGUAUGUGCCGUCUAGGGGCUCAUCAGAAGCAAGAACUUCUACCUUGUCAACUAGCUCAAGAUUUGAAGGUAAUCUUCUACUUUUGCGAAUUUGCUAAGCAACUGAAAAGGAAAAAAAUGCUCAAAGGUGGCUUGGUAACAUGCUGGCUAAGGUUGGUCUCCCUAAAGCCGAGCGUAGGGUGGCUACUCUACUCCAGUAUUUUCCCUUUCUUUGCGGGCAGGGGUGCCCUAUAUUCUGUGAACAAGACUGGGUGGGGCGGGAAGAGAAGGAGGAGCAUUGAGCAAGUAAAGGAAGCAUGACAUAUCAGUUUAGUCACUCUUUCACUAGUGAUUGAAAGCUAGGUGCCCUUACAAGAGGGGAAGAAGCUCUAACGGAAGCACCCUCGGGAAUCCCGCCUUUCAGAUUCUACAUCUGCUACUGCUGGAGUGGAUAAUGACUCUACUACCUGUGCCAGCAAACAAAAAAAAAAGACUUUAAAUAAAAUAAAAAAAGGCUAGGUGUCCAUGCCACCAACCAACUCCUGAAAGAAAAACAAGAGCUUAUCCGGCAAACCAGUAUAAGUACCCAUCGAGUCGAGCAAUGAUCAGGGGUCAGUUUCAACCUUAGACAGUGAGAGAUCAACCGCAGAUGGAAGACUACUCCAGCCUAAAAGGAACAUACAGUCUUAGGGGGGAAUCCUCAACAAAAGCGAAAAGAUCAACAGAAAGCCUAUAUCUAUUAAAGUAGCUCGCAUGCAAGGAGUUCGUUCCCUCCCCCUCCCCUGCUGCUGGUGGUGCCAAUCUAAUGCUGCUAAGAUUGGUUCAGUCGCUAGCGAAAGGAGAAGGCUCCUACUCACUUUAGUAGCUCUACCGGACCAGACAAAGGCAAAAGACAAAGAAAGAGGCGGGCAAGUAGUGGAAACUCUUAGAUAGGAACGUUCAGCGAUUGAAUUGCCUUCAGUAAAUCUAACCAGCUAAGCUACCUAAAUAACCUUUCUAAUUAAGAAAGGGCAGUUCUGUCGAUUCCCAAUCUCGAAACUGAGAGUGCGAAGUCACAAGCUGAUGAGCUAUAUGUGAAGUUAAAAAAUCCAGUUAAAAAAGAAAAUAUAUAGCUUCAUAGCUGAAACUGGAACUCGAGCCGAAAAUGGAAAUGGUUGGAACGGUCCCGGCUGCUAACCACGUUUCGCUUUAUUGCAAAAUCGGGAAGUGAGGGAGAGGCUUUCACUCACGGAGUUGCGACUCCUACGGACCCUGGUUCCGAAAGGACUCUAUAUGGAUAGGUUCGGGGCUACCCAUUUGACAGUCACUCAGACCCUAUAAGGACACGGUAGGGCAAGCCGAGUGCAGGGAGGUGUGGUUAUUUUCAUACAUUUCUCCUUUCCUUACUGCUUCCUUCAUUCUGUGGUUUUGAGUUCCCUUUGCCAUUCUUCUCCGAAGUUGGCUAAUCUUCCAACCAAGUAGUGAGAAUAUGAAAGGUCAGCAUGUAGAUGAUGCCGUUAUCAGGUCUUCGAAUUGAGUUGGAAGACGAAGACGAUCUUGGGGCCAUGUAGCGUUUUGGACAGCUUCCCUUGUUAAGGAGUAUAGUGUAUUAAGCAUGGGAUUCACCACUCCUAUAUAUCGAUUGUCUACCUUGCCCAUGACCGGCACCCUUUUUCCUUCCUCACCCUUGACUUUCUCUUUCUGGGACUCUCUAUUUUCGCUUUCGACUAAUUCUGUUCGGGAACCAGUCUUCCACGCCACCUGUGGUUUCCGGGCAUGGUCGUUCUGCUUGGGACAUGUCUGCUACGUCUCCAGCGUUCUCGGGCCCUCGCCCCGAAGCAAGGCAAAAAUCGAGCAUCGAAGUGAGCAUAUAAGAAGAAGUUCAAAAAAACUAAGUUAAUGGGCGACCACCUUCAACAUGAAUUACUUUCUGGAAGCAGGCCGCCACACCUCCCCUGUGAAAGAGGGCUACGCAGCUGAUUCGGUUAAUCACAUGUCAGAACAGGAUCUAUUUUUCAUUACCAGCUUCGGGUCACCCUUUUUCUUCUUUCUUUGCUAAGCUCUUCCAUUUUUGGAGUCUAAUAAAUCAUUUUUUUGGAAAUGGUCCAUGUCUGCUUGUUCUUCUGUACGGCCAUAUGACAAGUCAUUUGCGAACAUUUCGGGAACCUUUGGUUGUCUUUUUGUUCCAAACAUCGCAUCCAGUAUUGCUGGUUUCUUUUUAAAAGAGCUAGCUCAUUAGCUAUCUGUGAGUGGGGCUUGUUGAAAGCAUCUACUCGAGUGUAUCGAGAAACGUACCAGUCAUCUCAACAUUCCAAAUUCCUAUGUUUCUAGCCCAGCAACCUAUUAUUUAUGUAUGGGUCGGAAGAUCAUUACUGUGGAGGGAGGCUCGCACCAACCUUGCUAGGCGGGGAAGUUCGCAAUGUUCUAACCGAGCUAAGAGCUAAUACAGGUCCGAAGAGGCGGUGCCGUGCCAUAGGCCCGAAAUGGUCCUAAAGCCGCUAAGUAAAGCAGCUAAGACAGGGGCGAAGUCCUUUGUUCCAAUACGGGUAUAUCAGGCACAGGAGACAAGGUCCCUCAGACACGGGGGCGUAAGAAAAGAUCCCAUUCGGUGGAUUCAAAGUGGCAUAAACUCGCCUAUAUCGGUCAUAGACCAAGGUCUGCAAGCCUGCUUAUUAUUGAGUUAGGAAGCCAAGCCUUAGCGAGUCUAUGCCAAUGUCAAGAAGCCGGUUGAUCGUGAUUCUGUCUCCUUCUUAAAAAUAACAAAAAAGGGGCGCCCCCAAUGUGUUGACCUGGUCGGAAAAACGCGAUCAAAGUAAGGAAAGAAACUUUCUUGUUAAGAUUCUGAUUCAUCUCAGUCCUUAGAUGCUGAAUCUGUUCCUGCUUCUUCUAUGUUAGUAAGCAAGGACCCCAAAAAAAAAGUCUUUCUUGCCUUUAAUUUAAGGUAGCUCCUUUCCUAGCCAAUAGGCGCUUCCAACCCGUUGGAGAACGAGCUUUUUCUUUUCAUUUUCAGUCCCAAAACUCUGUAAGGGAAUUAUGUAGCCCGUCGCCCCCCGGAUUCUUAUCUUAGCUUAGUCAGUCAUUUCUCAGGGAAAAGCGGAGGAGUUCGUCCCUUCUUCCUGAAAAGGAGUAAGAGGGGGUGUGUCGGCAAAGGAAGAGCGGGUAGCCCGACCCGAAGGGAUGGCGCGGCCGGGUUCUGUUGAUAGUAAGCUAUGGAAAUAUGGCCAUAUUCCUUAGACAUUAUACUUUGAGAUUCCCUGUGAUGGUGAGCCAUUAUCUUCGUUAAACAAACCCUGGAGCUCUUCCUUUCUGUAUUGCUUGUCUUUCUUCUCCUCCACUUAACUCCGCUAUCAGACUAGGGCUAUUCUUCGCAUCUCGAAAGAGGUUCCCUUAGCAAGUCCAACGAGCUUAGGCUUAGAUCCCGUGUUCAGGAAAACCUUCUAUGGGUGCCUGAGUUCAUAGCAGUUCUUUCUCUGAUCCUAAUCGUAUCGUACGUACAGCUUUCUUUGUCUUGAGGGUGAGGAACGUCUUUCUUUUCGAUUUUGGAUUCAAAUUGAUGUGUCAGGGGCGCUGUAAAACCCUUUUCUUAUUCUUUUAGUUCUUGUAGCUGCUUUACCUGUGUGGGACCAUCGCCUAGUGUCUUAUGGUUGAUUGGUCUGACGGUUGGGAGUACGAGUAUAAGGUCUGUCCCCAUGCGCCUAUCAUCUUAGUCAGCGGCAGUGCCUUUCCUCACGUUCUUUGUUAGAGUUCCCCGGUUCGCUCCUGCCCACGGAGCAAGGAAUGAGUUUUGUGUUCGAAUCAGAGUCAGGUAAGGGCAUCGGAUCGAGUUUAUCUUCUUGCCGGCCUAGGGCCAUUGGCUUUUGCUUGACUUCUUGUAAUUGUAAGAGCUGACCCAGCAACAAGUCAUUUUGUUCCUUCCUUUCUUAGUGAAGUGACUGACCUUUCUUUGAGGAUCGGAACGGAAAUCCUUCCGUAAACAUUCAAAGUCUUCGAUUCGGCUCUUUCCUUGUUGACUUUUUCUAACUCCUCACCCGCAUCAUCGCCUGAUAGUGUUCGAAAUGUUGUAAGUAAGCAGUCCCGAAGCGGCAAAGGCCUAUUUUCUUAUUGCUUGAAAUUUGAAACUCCUCCCUUGAAAGCUCCAGGUGCUGCGACUAUCACCGGUAAGUUGCGUCGGAUCAACAUCGGGAUUAGAAUCCACUGCAAAAAAAAGCAACUAAGUCAACGCCUAUUUGCUCUGGAUCUACUGGCCCGGACGCUUGAAUCUAUUCCACCGCAAACAACCUACUACUGCAGGAUCUUUCGCUGCUUCUGUUGUUAUUGCUCUCGCCUGUCACUACGCCACCUCAGCAGCUGGGACUGGAACUGCUUCCGCAUCUGGCACUCCCCAACCUUUUCUAUCUAUCCUUAGAAGUAGGGCGAGUGUCUAAAGACCAGGUUAUCUCUCUGAAUCAUGUUAUUCUUUGUUCUUGUGAUUUCGUAAAGCUUUAAGCUAGAAAAUCCAGGGGUUUUAGCAAAAAACCCUCCCCUCGCUCUUCUUAUCAGCCCGCGGCCUUUAGGAACAUAACUGCAUCCGCCUGGGCUAACCAAACCUCAGGACAACUACCAUACUAGGCGGCUAACCGAAUCGUUAAGCGACCAUAGGUUCCCGAAUAUCUGACGAAGCGAUUUUGAAUACUACUUAUGAAAUUUUGUAAUAGAUAAUGUAAUUAUAUUAUUCGAUAGUUUCACUCACAUUUAACUAGUAUUUUGCCCAUGUUAUAUAUAUAAAAUGCCUUGAUAUUCUUUGUUUUAUGUUUUAAAGGUAUUUUUGAAUGAAAGAUGCAAAAAGGAGUAAAUUGGAGGUAAUUGGCAAAUUUGACGUUCAAUCGAUAUUUUGUGCAGAGCGUGAGUUCUAGAGGUCGAAAUGAAGUGAUUUCAAUGGUACUAAAAAGCUAACAUUCAUACCUUUCUGGCAAUUUAAUUCAAGAAAAAAAAAAAGAAAAAGAUCAUGGAGAUCACAUCCUUCAAAGUCAAAUCUUGAAGUGUGCCCAUAUUGACCUUUGCCCAUUCAAAAUUCAAUAUCUGGAGCUUCAGAAGUCCAAUUGAUGCAAACUCAAUUUUUUUGGAUAUAUUACUCAAAUUUCUAUAAACGCUCAAAAUUUCAUCCAAAAAUGAUGUCAUAUGAGGGAGAUAUGAUUUUUCAAAGAUGGCAACUGAAUUCUGCCAACAAACAAGUUUCGUGAAGAAACGAGUCCAAAUUAUGUUUUGAAGCAUCUAAAUCGAUAUCCAAAUUUUUAUUUCAGCAAUUUAGCUCCUAUAAAUCAAAUCUUGAAGAUUUAAUGCAAAAUUAUUUCUCCUUUUUAGAAAAAUAGUUGUUGAAGUACUUAAAUAUAAAUUGUCAACUUAAGGGAGGACUAUUUUGUAAAAUAGGGACUAGGGUUUCUUAGCCUAUAAAAGGCAGCAGCCAGAAGUGAAGAAACACAAACUCUCCUCUCUACAAACCAGAAAUAAUGCUUUCUUCCAUCUUUAGGGGUAGUUCUUACAUAGAUAUGCAAGGCUAAGCUCGUUUUCUUGGUUGCAAGGACACAACAAACCUUCGGAAUAAGUAUGAUUGUUUUCCUAUACAUAUUUUCUAUGAUUAUUGUUGAUAAUCGCUACAGCGGACUCUAAGUUAUUAUUGUGAACAAUCUAUUGCUAAGUUUGAUAUCAAAACCGGAGUUGUGAUAUAUGAACUUGUGAAGCAACUAAGCUUGAUAAUUGUGGCGGAACUACGUUAUUAAAC